rnacentral:rRNA from 1 species
CCCGCACAAGCGGUGGAGCAUGUGGUUUAAUUCGAUGAUACGCGAGGAACCUUACCUGGGCUCAAAUGUAUGUUGACGUAUUCUGAAAGGGAUACUUCUUCGGACAAUAUACAAGGUGCUGCAUGGUUGUCGUCAGCUCGUGCCGUGAGGUGUCGGGUUAAGUCCCAUAACGAGCGCAACCCCUAUCAUUAGUUGCCAUCAGGUCAAGCUGGGGACUCUAAUGAAACUGCCUACGCAAGUAGUGAGGAAGGUGGGGAUGACGUCAAAUCAGCACGGCCCUUACGUCCAGGGCUACACACGUGCUACAAUGGCCGGUACAAAGGGCAGCUACCUGGUGACAGGAUGCUAAUCUCAAAAGCCGGUCUCAGUUCGGAUCGGAGUCUGCAACCCGACUCCGUGAGGCUGGAAUCGCUAGUAAUCGCGCAUCAGCCAUGGCGCGGUGAAUACGUUCCCGGGCCUU